CAGUAGCCGCGGUAAUACAGAGGGUGCAAGCGUUAAUCGGAAUUACUGGGCGUAAAGCGCGCGUAGGUGGUUUGUUAAGUUGGAUGUGAAAGCCCCGGGCUCAACCUGGGAACUGCAUCCAAAACUGGCAAGCUAGAGUACGGUAGAGGGUGGUGGAAUUUCCUGUGUAGCGGUGAAAUGCGUAGAUAUAGGAAGGAACACCAGUGGCGAAGGCGACCACCUGGACUGAUACUGACACUGAGGUGCGAAAGCGUGGGGAGCAAACAGGAUUAGAGACCCCGGUAGUCCCUGUCUCUUAUAC
rnacentral:rRNA from 1 species